rnacentral:tRNA from 1 species
GGGUAUGUAGCUCAUUGACAGUGUGCUUCCCUAGUAGCUAUGAGGUCCUGGGUUCAAAUCCCAGCAUGUCAA